UGUCGUCUCCCCUCACCCCGACCCAGGAGUCUGGAGGCAGGGCUCGCGCCUGCUCCGCGCGACCUUACCCUGUCUACCUGCGGGGAACGUCUGCGAAGUUACUGGCAGAAGGGCUCCCCCUGCCCCGGCUGCUGAGUGGUGGCUGCUCCGCACGUGCGCCGGGAGGGGCCUGACCGCACGCAGCCCCCAACCCCCAGCCCCGAGCCGCGGGGCAGGCACCUGAAUGCCAGAGCGCCCGGCCGGCCGUUCGUCGCGAGGAACAGCGCUGCCUGAAGAUAAAACAGGAUUAGAGUUGCUAAUAGUAACAGCACGCACAUUUUUGGUUUUAAGUCACUAGCAAGCUGCCACCCGGAGGGGCUCCGCCACCGACAACCUGCCCAGCGAGGGGUGUUUAUUGAGUGUCUGCUGCGUACCCGGCCGCGGGCAGGAGUCAAGGGACACGACGGAGCAAGAAGAAGAUCAGCCCUCCUCUGGGGCAGCAGAACCCUGGAGUUGCCAUGGCUACGGGUUAGGCUGGGAGGGCACCUAACUGGGACGCAGGCCAGCCAGAGAGAGCACGUUUUCGAGAAGCAGGCGGAUUUGUUCUGCCGUUGACACACCAGUCGCUGGUGUACUUGCUACUGAAGGAGGCUGCCUGCAGCCAUGAAGCAGGAGGAAACGGAACCAAACCCUUGAGCCCCCCAUCAGGAAUUCCACUCAAGGGCCAGGCGAGCUAACCAGCCCGAGAGCAGUGCCGCCGUUUAUCAGAGUGGUACCAUUUCCUCCCGAUGAAGCUCUGCCACCUGGUUAAGCACCUGCCACGUGCUGGGCUCUGGGCACAUGCUUUAUGGAUGCUACUGAACUGGAUCCCUACGAUCGCCUCGAUUUCUCAGAGGAACAAAUGAGCUCAGAGUGAGGAGGCCACUCACCCCAGGCCCUGCCAUGGCAGGUGCUGGAGGUCAAGUGAGACCCAGGUGUGUGACGGCAAAGCUCCUGCCAUUUCACCUCGAGGGGCCUCCAGGAAGAUGCCAGGGCCCUGGAGCCUCCGUGACCCCCAGCUCCAGAAACAGGGACCCACAUGAGGACCGGCCCUUGGAGACAAAAACGCAGCAGCAACCUCGUGGCCAGCGAGGACGCCCAGCGGCACAACUGUAUCUACGAAAUUCUUUUCAUCUUUGUUUUGAUGGGUGAAGCUCAAUGCCAGAAUAUUUGGUUUCUCCCCUGGUCUCGCCAAUCCACUUGGAUGUCCUGCCUGCACUUUUUGUUUGGUCUGCACUCCUCCAGGCCUCUCCCUCAGGCUCCACCCAGACAGGAGAUGCUGGAAACAGGGACGAGGAGCCUCCUCCUUGCCUUGGAAUUUCUUCUCCACCUCUGCUCCGCACCUGUCUGCCUCGAAGGCUAAGAAAUCGAAACAGAAGGAGGAGGGUGUGCAUUUCAGACAUCCACCCAGCAUACCUUCGCACCAGGGUGAGUUGAAGAUCGUGGAGAUGGAAGAAGAGUGAGGGUUCGGGGCUGUGGAGAGACCCUGGCAGCCAACCUGCCCUUGCGGGAGCAAAAGGACACAUGGUCCUGGUCCUCCAUGGCCCUGGAGAACUUUAAGGACACCAUGGCAAGAUUAAGUACCUGUGUCGCCCCUGGGGAUGUGGCUUCAGCGGCAUGAGGAGACUCGGAACCGCUCGCGAUCUUCAGCAUGUGUCUGAGGUUUGGCACACCCUCCAUCCCUGACAGGAAAACACAAAGAUAAGCACGUCUUCGUUCCUGUGCAUAACUCGAGGGGCAUUUCCUGGUCAACAAGACCCUGGCCCAGCACACUGGCUGACCUCCGACCUUCCCCUAAUUGCUCUGUCCUCAGACAACCUUCUCAGCAGGGAGAGGGCAAGAAGAAAGCGGAAGGAGGCUGUGUCUUCACGCACCCCCUGCAGGACCUUUGUCCUCUUCGACGCUGAAGGAUUCAGGUCUUUCUCAGAACUCCUGUGAACUGGGAAGUCCCUGAGGGCAGUAGGAAAGCUCGCUGUGGCCCUACCCAGGAGACUCAGGCCUGGGAAGGUCCUGGACCGAUACCAGAACUCAGCACAGGGACACGCAGCUUGAAAGAAAAACCCUGGAGAUGGAAGAUGUGUUCUGCUCUCUUGCCCCACGUUGUGCAAGACAGCUUUAGCGUUCAAGAACUGAAAGACAGCUACCUUUAACAUAAUUCCAAGACAUGCACUUGGAGGCCCAGUACACAGCAGAGCUCUAGAAAUACAGCCAAACAGCGAGCGCCCCUUCUGGCAGCAUCUGGCUUGUCCUAACGGGAGGCUUCGAGUCCUCGGCCUGGGGUUGCUGCCCUACCUUGGGGGCACCUCAGUCUCCUUGUCUCUGAAGCAGAGCUAGGUCCAGGAUCUCUCACCUGGAGCCUCUGAGGUCAGAUGUGUUCAGAGUGGGGUGCAAGUGUCACUAGAGCAUCUUCCCAGCCGGCUUUGGGCGGGGCCCCUUCAUCCGACCCUUGCGUUGUCUAUAGUGGGUUAAAUGAAGGCCAUUCCUAGUCUCACAGCCAUUCAAGUCACAUUGUUCUGUCAGAUUCGUUCGUGCCAAAUUCAGGGGAACACGAGGUUUUCAGAGCUUUUUGCAUUUAGAGGAUUUGGGGUAAAGCGAGUGAGAAUGUUCGUUUUUAACUAUCAGUGUUAUAAAUGUCAUCUUCUCCCCUCUCUCCUCUUGGAUAGAGCCCCCAUAUCUCCCAAGAGUUAGAAAGAGAUUACUCAUUUUUCUUGAGGCAGAAACUUGGGGGUGGGGGUGAUACUCACCAUGGCGACAGAAGCCUGGGGUUUCCCAAGAUUUUUGUGAGAAACAGAAGGCUCAGAGGCGUGGGAAGUCAGAGAAUGGGAAGGGAAUCUGAGUAUAUCUCGGGUGGUGCCACCAGGCCCACAACUCAAGCCAACAGGCAACUGGGCAAAGAGUCACGAGGCUAAGCUCCCGAAGAAAGCAAAGUCAGCCCUCAAGAAAAGAAAUAUUACAUCCUGCAAACACGGAGCUAGCCGGGGCCCUGGUGACCCUUGGUCGGGUACUUCCUCACUGCUUUAAAGUUGUAAGUAGGAAAGACGGUGGAUUUGGCAAUGCUUGGUUCUCUCCACUGUGGUCAUAGCCACCCCCACCAGCAACUGGGGAGGAAUGUUCUCAGCAAAGAUCUUGUUGGACAGUCCCAGCCAGUGCUAGGGACGAGAGUCGUGGCAAAAAAACACAAUGUUAACAAAUCAGAACCCAAAGCCAGCAGUGGUGCCUGGGGAAGAUUUCAUCAGCCCUGCGAUGGGUCAGAGGCCAAGGCCAGUCAGAACCAUGAACCCCCCUCCCCCGAAGAGGUCUGUCUCUCAGGCUCCCAGGACAGCCUCAACCAUGCCUAUUCUGGAAUUCCCUGGGAACCCACACCUCCUACACAAGGAUGUCUGAGCCAAACUCCUUAAGUUCCCCUGGAUGUUCCCAAGUGGCUCCACGUUCUCAGACAAGGGCAGCUCAUGGGAUGUAAAACCCAGCGGCUCACCACGGGGGGAGGGGGCCCAUUCCUGGAAUAUCCGCCCAGAGGCAGCACACUCCAUGCCCUCCGUGGUUUGGCUGUUCCGUCUCUCCUGGGCACGUCACGAAGCUCACUCUGCCUGUUUCCUCAUCACUGGAAAAAACGACGUGACCUCGGUUAACGUCUGCAAGACUCUCGGUUCCGGAUAAGCCCGGCCUGUCAUUAGCGGCGCUGUGAUUUUUUUCCCACUUCGGCCCUAGUGGUCUGCCUCUCCCGGCUAUUUUGGGCCGGGCUGCCCGACCAUCCCACUGUCAAGGGCAGAGACUGGUAUUGCAAACUUUUGAAUUCCAUUCCAAAGGGUAGCGACAGGCAGGCUCAGAUGGUGGCGUCCCACUGCCAAGGGAUGGGGGUGGGAGAGUCUCCGUGGAGAUUUGGAGAAGGAGCCGAGAUGGAAACUUGGCCGCCAGACCCAGCCUCCCUGGCCGCCGGCCCACCCUCAUUGCUCCCCGAGGGCGCUGCCGGUGUUCUGGAAGGCUCGGGGGCAGGUGGGACUCGGGCUGGCAGCUGCGAGGACAGAACAGGCUAAUCUGCUUUAGGGUCGUCAUCCUCACACCCGGAGAGGACACUCCCGCUCCAAGGAGUCAGCUCUGGACUCCAUGCAAAGAUGGGCGGGUAGGGAUAAGAUUCUACACUUGCCAUUUUGUCUGUUUUUUUUACCCUUCCUGUGCUUUCAGACUCUAAUCAAGCCAUUUCAUGCCCCAUGCCUCAGCUUCUCCGUCUCUCAACGUCUACCGCCCUGUUUUGGGAAUUCCUUUUCAGCACUUGCAGUUACACGAAGACAGAGGACUAAUUAGGUAACACCACUUUACUGGAUGCACAAAAUGGGAGGGCCCCCUGGUGGACUGCACAGUUCUAAGCACCUAACUCUGAAAUGAAUGAGCCAACCAGUAGACACACGAAUGAAUGCUUAAAAGGAAGACUUUUUAGUCUUUUAUGCAGAAACACAGGAGAUAAUUUCCAGGAGAAGGCCACGGUGAUGUCUCUGAUGAUGCAGAGAAGAUGAGGACAAGGAAAAUCAAAGGAAAACCUGGUUGGACAUGACCGUGGAGUCAUUGUUGACUGGGAAGAGAGCAACAUCAUGGCACAGCCUCCCGGGAAGGCAGCGUCUAUUCCCUAGAGGAUGCAAAUCCCCUCUGAUCUAGUCACCUUUCUUCUAAAAAUGUAUCCUAUGAUACACUUACACUUGUGCUCAAAUAACCAAGAUAUGCCCCAAAGCAUUACUGUAAUGUAGAGAAAUCACAGACACCCUAAAAGGACAUCACAAGAAUCCUGGUAAAAUAAAUGACAGGACAUCACAUGGUGGAAUAGCACACACACAGCUCUUCAGAGAGGGAAGCAGCUUCCUAUAUAAUGAUAUGGAACAAGCAUUAAUGGGAAGUGAAAAAUUACAAACCCUAUUGAAAAACAUUAAAGAAGACCUAAGUAAAUCAGAAAAGCAUACCAUAAAAAAAAAUUCUCAGUUCUCUCCCAAUUAAUCUACAGGCUCAAAGUAAUCCCAUUCCAAAUCUCAAGAAGUUGGGGUGG